GAUGAACGCUAGCGGGAGGCUUAACACAUGCAAGUCGAGGGGCAGCAUAGGGUAGCAAUACUCUGAUGGCGACCGGCAAACGGGUGAGUAACGCGUAUGCAACCUACCCUGUACAGGGGGAUAACCCGGAGAAAUUCGGACUAAUAUCCCGUAAUAAUAUCCGGAGGCAUCUUUGGAUAUUUAAAGUUUCGACGGUACGGGAUGGGCAUGCGUAACAUUAGCUGGUUGGUAAGGUAACGGCUUACCAAGGCUAUGAUGUUUAGGGGUCCUGAGAGGGUGGUCCCCCACACUGGUACUGAGACACGGACCAGACUCCUACGGGAGGCAGCAGUGAGGAAUAUUGGUCAAUGGGCGCAAGCCUGAACCAGCCAUCCCGCGUGCAGGAAGACGGCCCUAUGGGUUGUAAACUGCUUUUCCAGGGAGAGAAACUUACGCAUGUGUUGCGUGACUGACGGUACCCUGGGAAUAAGCAUCGGCUAACUCCGUGCCAGCAGCCGCGGUAAUGAGUAGUA
rnacentral:rRNA from 1 species